UAUUAAAAUUUUUAUCUGUUUCUAUUGUUAAAAACGAGUUGAAUAAUAAGAUAAUUACAUGUGAAGUGCCACGUAUAUCUUAUAGUGACGUACAAUGACAAACCUUUAACAAUAAAAAUAAACAGAAUUUUUAACA
rnacentral:pre_miRNA from 1 species